AGAGUUUGAUCAUGGCUCAGAUUGAACGCUGGCGGCAUGCCUUACACAUGCAAGUCGAACGGUAACGCGGGGGCAACCCUGGCGACGAGUGGCGAACGGGUGAGUAGCGCAUCGGAACGUGCCCAGUAGUGGGGGAUAGCUCGGCGAAAGCCGGAUUAAUACCGCAUACGACCUACGGGUGAAAGCGGGGGACCGCAAGGCCUCGCGCUAUUGGAGCGGCCGAUAUCCGAUUAGCUAGUUGGCGGGGUAAUGGCCCACCAAGGCGACGAUCGGUAGCUGGUCUGAGAGGAUGAUCAGCCACACUGGAACUGAGACACGGUCCAGACUCCUACGGGAGGCAGCAGUGGGGAAUAUUGGACAAUGGGCGCAAGCCUGAUCCAGCCAUGCCGCGUGUGUGAAGAAGGCCUUCGGGUUGUAAAGCACUUUUGUUGGGAAAGAAAAGCGGUCGGUUAAUACCCGGUCGUUCUGACGGUACCCAAAGAAUAAGCACCGGCUAACUUCGUGCCAGCAGCCGCGGUAAUACGAAGGGUGCAAGCGUUACUCGGAAUUACUGGGCGUAAAGCGUGCGUAGGUGGUUUGUUAAGUCAGAUGUGAAAGCCCCGGGCUCAACCUGGGAAUUGCAUUUGAUACUGGCAGACUAGAGUGCGGUAGAGGAGAGUGGAAUUCCCGGUGUAGCAGUGAAAUGCGUAGAGAUCGGGAGGAACAUCAGUUGCGAAGGC
rnacentral:rRNA from 1 species